rnacentral:lncRNA from 1 species
GGACGGCGCCCCGAGGUGGAAAACGGGGGGAAAUCGGCGAAACUCCGCGUUUUUCACCCCAGGCCCUGAGGGUUUGGGGCUGUAUGAAACGGCUGAUGGGGAAGCGCAGGAGCUGCCCGCUGCCAGGCGACAGGAAAUUCCACGCACCCAAAGCCAAGCGGAUCCUUCAGGAACCACCGGGAGAUCCUGCUGGGAUGGAGCCCGAGGUCCCAGCAGAGGGAAAAACUCCCCAAAUUGGGGUUUUUAACGUGAUUUUUCAGGAGGGGAGAGGCGAGGAGAUUGGAGGUGGCAGAGCACCAAAAUGGGGCAUUUCUGGUGGGGUAGGAGAGAAUCAUCUGGAAGUGCCCCAGCUGGGAAUUUUGGAAGUGGAUGGGACAGGAGAGGAUCAGCUGGAGUCACCAAAAUCAGGAAUUUUGGAUGGGGCAGGAGAGAUUUGUCGAGAAUCGCCAAGACCAGGAAUUUUGGAGGUGGAUGGGGCAGGCGAAGAGCAGCUGGAGUCACCAAAACCAGGAAUUUUGGAUGGCUCGGGGGAGACUUGUCGAAAAUCGCCAAAACCGGCAAUUUUGGAGGUGGAUGGGGCAGGAGAGGAACCUCCAGAGUCGGUGAAAUCUGUAAUUUUGGAUGGAAUGGGACAGAACCAUCUGGAAUCAUCUCAGCAGGGAAUCUUGGAGGGGGGUGGAGCUGGAAAGGAGAAGCUGGAAUCACCAAAACCAGGAAUUCUGGAGGAGGAUGGGGCAGGAGAGGAACAGCUGGAAUCACCAAAACCAGGAAUUCUGGAGGUGGGUGGGGCAGGAGAGGUGCAGCUGGAGUCACCAAAACCAGGAAUUCUGGAGGUGGAUGGGGCAGGAGAGGAGCAGCUGGAGUCACCAAAACCAGGAAUUUUGGAUGGAACAGGAGAGGAGAAGCUGGAAUCACCAAAACCAGGAAUUUUAGAGGUGGAUAGGGCAGGAGAGGAGCAGCUGGAGUCACUGAAAGUGGGGAUUUUGGAUGGAACAGGGAAGGAGAAGCUUGAAUCACCAAAACCAGGAAUUCUGGAGGAGGAUGGGGCAGCAGAGGAGAAGCUGGAAUCACCAAAACCGGGAAUUUUGGAUGGAACGGGAGAGGAGAAGCUGGAAUCACCAAAACCAGGAAUUCUGGAGGUGGAUGGAACAGGAGAGGAGCAGCUGGAGUCACCAAAACCAGGAAUUUUGGAUGGAACAGGAGAGGAGCAGCUGGAGUCACCAAAACCAGGAAUUUUGGAUGGAACAGGGGAGGAGCAGCUGGAAUCACCAAAACCAGGAAUUCUGCAGGUUGAUGGGGCAGCAGAGGAGAAGCUGGAAUCACCAAAACCAGGAAUUCUGGAGGUUGAUGGGGCAGCAGAGGAGAAGCUGGAGUCACCAACACACAGAAUUUCGGGUGGGGCAGCAGAGGAGCACCCAGAGCCAGUGAAACCAGGAGUUCCAGAGGCAGAUGGGGCAAGAGAGGAGCAGCCAGAGCCAGCCUGGGAAAUUCCCAGGCUGGGAGUUCUGGAUGGAACAAGAGAGAACGAGCAAGGAGGGGAUUCCGGAGCACACCAGGACACGGCGCCCGAGGAAAGCCCAGAGGAGACGGACGCAGCGGGAGAGCGGCAAGAAGGUGCCCUGGAGGAGGGAUGUGGCGCUGGGGUUGCCCUGGGAAUGGACGCGGGCUCACCAGACGGACCCAGAGGUCCCCGGAGCGGUGGGGGGGACGCAGAGAGCAGGAAUUCCCAGAGUGGGAAUUCCGGGAUGUUCACACCGGCGUUAGAUCCAGCAGGAGCCAGCGCCGAGCCCCAGGAGCUGCAGGAAGGGACCAGCCCAGAGCUCCCAGCGGAGAAGCGCCAAAGCCGCGGAGCCGGCAGACGCCAGCGACGUCGUCCGCGGGCUGAUCCGGGAGCUCUCAGACCUCAACCGCCUGGCCAUGGGAGCCCGCCGAGGGCUGGAGCUGCUGAGGAGGCCGAAGCCACGGCGUGGCCGGAGGGCAGUGCCCAGUGGGAGCCGCUGGAAAGAGGGGUAGGGACAUCAGGAAUAAUAAUAAUAAUUUAUUGAUGGAAACGAUGGGAAUAAAUCAACCUUCAUCUGGAGAAAGGUUCCA